UUGUAUAUAGAUAAAAUUACUUAACAAUCAAAUUGUAAUAUUUAAACAAUUAUUAAAUAAAAAUAGUUUUUGAUUGAUUAGUUUUGACCAUUGAUAUUUUAAAUCCAAUGGCUAUAAAUCGUUCUUUUGUUGAUCUUUUUCUUUCUUUUUCAUUGGCCAAAUCUGUAUGCACAAGAAUAACUUUUUCAUCUAUUGGAUGAGAUCUAAUCCGAUGAUCCAGAUUCAUUAAUCUUUCAUUUCUUUAAUUUGAUGGCCCAGAUUUGCAGACUUUCCCUAUUCUCUCUUUUUUUUCCUUCAACUUACGAUAUCUUUCUUUUUCUUCAACUUUUCUUUUUUGGUUUCUAAAGAUCUAGGCAUGUCUCUUCAUCUCGUUACGAAGCCCAUCUUCUUAUCUUUUCCAUACAGAGCCAGUCUCCUCAUCUCAUCAUCUCCGUAAAGCAGCUUGAAGGUGGAGGCUGAAGAAGCUUCAUGGAGGCCCCCACAACCUUACGCAUCCGGCGCAGACAAAGCUGUUCCUCUGCGAAACCGAGUUCUAUCACUCCCAAUAUUCACUAGGUUAGCUGAAUCCAUGACUGAGUUUGUUUUCAAUGGAGGUGGUCUCAUCUUACCAACGGUGAUGGAAGGCGGCGGCGUUGAGAUGCUUGCAGGAGGCGUUGUUUUGUUUAUUAGGUUUAGGAAGGAAGCGAUGUUUUGUUUAUUAAGUUUACUUUUGGUUUAGUGUUGGUUUAAUAUUUUUUUCUAUCUAAUUAGAUUUCUUUUUAUAUGUAAAUCAUAUUCUUUUGUAAACCAUUUUAUUGUAAAUCAGUUUAAAUAAUAACUUUUUAAUAUAUAAA